rnacentral:rRNA from 1 species
UACGUAGGGUGCGAGCGUUGUCCGGAAUUAUUGGGCGUAAAGAGCUCGUAGGCGGCUUGUCACGUCGGAUGUGAAAGCCCGAGGCUUAACCUCGGGUCUGCAUUCGAUACGGGCUAGCUAGAGUGUGGUAGGGGAGAUCGGAAUUCCUGGUGGUAGCGGUGAAAUGCGCAGAUAUCAGGAGGAACACCGGUGGCGAAGGCGGAUCUCUGGGCCAUUACUGACGCUGAGGAGCGAAAGCGUGGGGAGCGAACAGG